UGGCUGUCGUCAGCUCGUGUCGUGAGAUGUUGCGUUAAGUCCCGCAACGAGCGCAACCCUUGUCAUUAAUUGCCAUCAUUUAGUUGGGCACUUUAAUGAGACUGCCGGUGACAAACCGGAGGAAGGUGGGGAUGACGUCAAGUCCUCAUGGCCCUUAUGGGUAGGGCUUCACACGUAAUACAAUGGCGCGUACAGAGGGUUGCCAACCCGCGAGGGGGAGCUAAAAUCAGAAAGCGCGUCGUAGUCCGGAUCGGAGUCUGCAACUCGACUCCGUGAAGUCGGAAUCGCUAGUAAUCGCGG
rnacentral:rRNA from 1 species